rnacentral:rRNA from 1 species
CAGAGCGGCCAUACUACACAGAAGGCACCGGUUCUCGUUUGCUCACCACAGUUAAGCUACGUCAGGCCCAGUUACUACUUUCGUGGAUGACCAGCUGGGAAUAAAGGACGUGGCUCCCG